AUGGCUUCGCUUACCAUGCUUAUGUCAUGGACCUUGUGGAAUGAGAGGAACUCAAGGGUUUUCUGCAACAAUAGCGCGACGUCAACAAUUUUUCUUAGCAUCAUCAUGAUCGAGGCGAAUCUCUGGAUCACUGCCGGAGCAAAGAAGUUAGGGUCAAUUGUCUCACGAGAAUAA
rnacentral:rRNA from 1 species